CUCCUACGGGAGGCAGCAGUGGGGAAUAUUGGACAAUGGACCGAGAGUCUGAUCCAGCAAUUCUGUGUGCACGAUGAAGUUUUUCGGAAUGUAAAGUGCUUUCAGUUGGGAAGAAAAAAUGACGGUACCAACAGAAGAAGUGACGGCUAAAUACGUGCCAGCAGCCGCGGUAAUACGUAUGUCACGAGCGUUAUCCGGAUUUAUUGGGCGUAAAGCGCGUCUAGGUGGUUAUGUAAGUCUGAUGUGAAAAUGCAGGGCUCAACUCUGUAUUGCGUUGGAAACUGUAUAACUAGAGUACUGGAGAGGUAAGCGGAACUACAAGUGUAGAGGUGAAAUUCGUAGAUAUUUGUAGGAAUGCCGAUGGGGAAGCCAGCUUACUGGACAGAUACUGACGCUAAAGCGCGAAAGCGUGGGUAGCAAACAGGAUUAGAUACCCUGGUAGUCCACGCUGUAAACGAUGAUUACUAGGUGUUGGGGGUCGAACCUCAGCGCCCAAGCAAACGCGAUAAGUAAUCCGCCUGGGGAGUACGUACGCAAGUAUGAAACUCAAAGGAAUUGACGGGGGCCCGCACAAGAGGGC
rnacentral:rRNA from 1 species